rnacentral:rRNA from 1 species
CUACGGGCCGCAGCAGUGAGGAAUAUUGCACAAUGGGGGGAACCCUGAUGCAGCAACGCCGCGUGGAGGAUGACGCAUUUCGGUGUGUAAACUCCUUUUAUAUGUCAAGAAAAUGACGGUAGCAUAUGAAUAAGCACCGGCUAACUCCGUGCCAGCAGCCGCGGUAAUACGGAGGGUGCAAGUGUUACUCGGAAUCACUGGGCGUAAAGGACGCGUAGGCGGGUUGGAAAGUCAGGUGUGAAAUCCUACAGCUUAACUGUAGAACUGCACUUGAAACUUCUAGUCUAGAGUAUGGGAGGGGGAGAUGGAAUUAGUGGUGUAGGGGUAAAAUCCGUAGAUAUCACUAGGAAUACCUAAAGCGAAGGCGAUCUCCUGGAACAUUACUGACGCUAAGGCGUGAAAGCGUGGGGAGCAAACAGGAUUAGAUACCCUUGUAGUC